rnacentral:rRNA from 1 species
UUGAACGCUGGCGGCAGGCCUAACACAUGCAAGUCGAACGGUAACAGGAAGAAGCUUGCUUCUUUGCUGACGCGUGGCGGACGGGUGAGUAAUGUCUGGUAAACUGCCUGAUGGAGGGGGAUAACUACUGGAAACGGUAGCUAAUACCGCAUAACAUCGCAAGACCAAAGAAGGGGACCUUCGGGCCUCUUGCCAUCGGAUGUGCCCAGAUGGGAUUAGCUAGUAGGUGGGGUAACGGCUCACCUAGGCGACGAUCCCUAGCUGGUCUGAGAGGAUGACCAGCCACACUGGAACUGAGACACGGUCCAGACUCCUACGGGAGGCAGCAGUGGGGAAUAUUGCACAAUGGGCGCAAGCCUGAUGCAGCCAUGCCGCGUGUAUGAAGAAGGCCUUCGGGUUGUAAAGUACUUUCAGCGGGGAGGAAGGGAGUAAAGUUAAUACCUUGACUCAUUGACGUUACCCGCAGAAGAAGCACCGGCUAACUCCGUG